UCAGUCGGGGGUGAGUGCGCUAAUGUGCCUGGAGGCCGUUUUAAUGAGUGUUUGCUGGAAAACGAAAAAUACAAGAAGGAUUUGUACGUUUUCACAACGGGGGAGUUUGCUAAACUUUGACCACUUCCAGAUACUGCGGGCCAUCGGGAAAGGAAGCUUUGGAAAGGAGAAGCGUGGAGACGAGAGGGCAGCGAGCACGGGGUGCUCAGACACUGAGGAGCGGAGACAAGGAACACUAGCACUGGGAAGAGGACA